rnacentral:lncRNA from 1 species
CAAGUAGCUGGGAUUACAGGCACGCGUCGACACACCAAGAUAAUUUUUGUAUUUUUAGUAGAGACGGGGUUUCCCCAUGUUGGCCAGGCUGGUCUCGAACUCCUGACCUCAGGUGAUCCGCCUGCCUCCACCUCCCAAAGUGCUGGGAUUACAGGCGUGAGCCACCGCACUCGGCCUAAAAAGGACAUCUUGAGGUGGGAAAUGGAGCCAAUCAGAGAAACAGGUGAAGUGGAGGCCUGUAUGGGAGGUUCCCCUGCUGUGGAAUUUUUCCAGCAGUUCAGCUGCUACAGGGCAGAGGCUGGAAAGAUGGCCCUGGGAUCUUCCCAGGUGAGAAGACGGAAGGAAAGAGGGGCCAGCAAAGGAGGGGCUGCAGGGGAGUGAGAGAACAGGGGUAGUGGGGGGGCCCAGGCUCCAUGGACCACGAUCACUGCGGGGAGGCACCUGCACCGCUUCUCCUUCCCAUCUGCAACCAGGAGCCAGCUACCGCCCCCUCCCCAUCUCCUGCCCCUCCUCACCUACUGUUUCCUUCCUCUCUCCCAAAGUGUUGGGAUUACAGGCGUGAGCCACCGCGCCCGGCCAGGAAACCUCCUCUCUGCCCUCGGUUUCUGUGAGGCUCCCAGUCCAGGUUUUCCUCCUGCCUCCCUCAAUUUCUCUAAUCUCUUUCAUAGGCUCCUGCACUGUCCCCUCCUUUUAUGCCACCAUCCCCCAGGGACCUUCCUUGGCCUUUUCUCUCCUCAUUUCACAGCCUUUCCCAGGCCUUCCCCUGCUCAGCCAGUAAUCUGUCUCCCAAACUCCUCACUCUCCAUAUUUCAGGCACAACAGUUGCCAACAGAGGUUCUCAAUGUGGCCUCCAUCAGAAUCACACGGAGGAUGAGUUCAGACUCAGGGGGCUGGGCCCAAUCCCCAGGCCUGCAGUAGGUCUGGAGUGGCUAGAAGUGUAAGAAUUUUUUUUUGGAGACACGCUCUCGUUAUGUUGCCCAGGCUGGUCUUGAACCCCUAGUUCAGGCGAUCAGCCUGCCUCAGCCACCCAAAGUGCUGGGAUUACAAGGGUGAGCCACGGAGUCCAGCCAAGAUAAUUUUUUUUUUACUUUUUUUUUUAAGUUCAAAAAAAUUCUUUACUUAUUAGGCUAAUUGUGCAAUUAAAAAAAAAAAAAAAUUGCAAAAACCGCAAUUACUUUUGCACCGAUCUAAUAGCUCGCCCACUGUAAGUAAAGCAGGUAAAGUCAGCCUUUUUCUUCUGGGACCAGACUCUGCUCUGCCCCGCGGUGGUGGCCUCAGGCGCAGCGCUAAAACGCAUGAACCAUUUAAGGUAUUUCCUGAAACUGGAGCGUGAUUGGUGAGACUUUAUUUGCAUACCCACAAUGCAUUGCGCACUAAAUAAUGUUCGUCUUUAAAAUUAUUUCCCCUUUUUCCUUCAACAUAUCUUUCUCGGAACCGAGAUUGCUGUCCCAGAAUUGUCUGAAGAAAAAGGCUGAAGUCAAUAGCUCUUUUGGGCCGAAGGAAAGUUACCAUUACCCGUUUAGGAGUAGCCGUUACCUGAGAACUGUAGUGUCGACGACUGAUGUUAUACUCUGGUUUCUCUUCAAAUCGUAUAAAUCUUUCGCCUUUUACUAAAGAUUUCCGUGGAGAGAAACGAGUGUGAGUCUGAAACCAAUUUUUUGAGGCCUUGCGUUUCUUAGCAGGGCUUAUUUUAAGUGUUUUAAAAACAGAUGCGAUUCCGUUAAAUCGCGUGUGGAGCUAUGUAAAGUGUAUUAUAGAACAAAUGCGAGUUACGGUUUUUCAGCUUUUCGCUUUGUUAAGGCUGCAUUCGCUGAGGUGUGUCUGUGUUGUUCCCCUUUGAGUUCCAGUCAAAAAAGAUUCCUAGAGAGAAUUCGCUCUCACGCCAGGGCUAAGCUCCUCCCACCAGGUUCAUGAGCCUGGAAGUAAGUGCCGUCCACCAAUGUCCUGCCUGCUCUUCAGAGGCUCCUCAAGCCUUCCCUGCCCAGAGAGAUUCCGGGAUGAAAAGGAAAAACGUCCCUGCCUGGCAGAAAUUGAUGCUGCUUCUGGAAACGUAGGGCGGGUGGUUGUUUCCAAAAUGUGUCUGCCAUCACUUGAGCUAGUAGUGGGAGCAUCUAGUUUUGGAGCUGGACAGGCUUGGGAACGCAUCCCUGACUCCACAAAUUAUGUGACUUUGGCUUAAUGACUUAUCAUCUGGGAGCCUCACUUUCCUCAUCUGUAAAACAGGACUGACACUCACCUUGCAGGAAUACUGGAGGUCUGUACUGCGCUGCCAACAUCUAUUCGCCCUCAUCCGUGACAAGAGUACCCACAAUUUCCUCUGGGAAGCUGCUCCUCUCUGAUUAGUGUCUGUUCAGUGGUUGGAGGUUGACCCUACCCCAGCUCUGAGACGGCCUGGCCAGCCUAUCCUAAUUAGCAUAUCCCUUUCACCCUGGCCACAGUGAUUGACUUAGGGCUGGGCUGUGCAGAGGUGAGCCUCAGCUUUUUGGGUAGGAACACCAGGACUUGGAUUCCAGUGGGUUUAAUGCUAGGAGGGCAUCAAGCUUGUGAUAACUGUGGCCAUUUUUGUUACCAUAAGGGUAGCCAGUCUGAGGAUGGAAGCCAAUCUACAGGAAACAGAGCUAAGAGAUACUAAUGCAUCCCUAAAUCACUUGAGUCCUGGAUCAAACCGUUCCUGAAGCUCCUACUAAGCUACACUGUUAUGUGAACCAAUACUCUUCCUUUUGUUUAACCAGUUUUUGGUUUUGUGGGUUUUUUUGUUUGUUUUUGUUUUGUUUUGAUAUAGGAUCUUACUCUGUCACAUAGGCUGGAGUACAGUGGUAUGAUCUUGGCUCACUGCAACCUCCACCUCCUGGGCUCAAGCGAUCCUCCCACCUUAGCCUCCCAAGUAACUGGAAUCACAGGUGCACGCCACCACCAUGCUCAGCUAACUUUUAAAAUUUUCUGUAGAGACAAGGUCUCACUAUAUCACUCAGGCUGGUCUCGAAGUCUUGGGCUCAAGAGAUCCUCCUGUCUCAGCCUCCCAAAGUGCUGGGAUUACAGGUGUGAGCCACUGUGCUCAGUCAGAAUCUGGUUACUCCUGCACCAGAAAUACCCUAAGAUUUAUUUGGCCAGGCACGGUGGCUCACGCCUAUAAUCCCAGCAGUUUAGGAGGCUGAGGUGGGCGGAUCGAUUGAGCUCAGGAGUUUGAGACCAGCCUGGGCAACAUGGUGAAACCCCGUCUCUACAAGAUAUACAAAAAAAAUUAGCCAGGCUGAGUAGUCCCAGCUACUCAGGAGGCUGAGGUGGGAGGGUUGCUUGAGCCCAUAAGGCUGAGGCCGCAGUGAGCUGUGAUUGCACCACUGCACUCCAGCCUGGGCGACAGAGCGAGACCUUGUCUAAAAAAAAAAAAAAGAAGCAUCCACGGUCCUAUGACUCUCUGUAUUCUUGGUUUGUUAUCACCAGAGAAGAGUUCCAUUUCUCCGCUGGAAGGAUAUGCCCGUAUUGGUGUGUUCCGGCUGCUCUAACAAUAUACCGUAGACCGGGCAGCUUCAAAACAGCAGAAAUUGAUUUCUCCCAGUUCCAGAGACUGAAGUUCGAAAUCACAGUGCCAGCAUGGUUGGGUUCUAGUGGGGCCCCUCUUUCCGGUUGCAGACUGCUGUCUUCUCAUUGCAUUCUCAUAUGGCGGAAAGAGGGUGAGGCAGCUCUGUGGGGCCCCCUUAGAAGGGCCCUAAUCCCAUUCAUGAGGACUCUACCCUCAUGACCUAAGAACCCCCCUAAAAGCCCCACCUCCUAAUCCUAUCACAUUGGAAGUUAGGACAUCAACACAGGGGCCUGGUAUGAUGGCUCACACGUGUCAUCCCAGCACUCUGGGAGGCUGAGGCAGGUGGAAUACUUGAGCUCAGGAGCUUGAAACCAGCCUGGGCAACAUGGCAAAGCCCCAUCUCUACAAAAAAUACAAAAACUGGCCAGGUGUGGUAGUGCACACCUGCAGUCCCAGCUACUUGGGGAGCCGAGAUAGGAGGAUUGCCUGGGCCCA